rnacentral:rRNA from 1 species
GACGAACGCUGGCGGCGCGCCUAACACAUGCAAGUCGAACGAGCGAGAGAGAGCUUGCUUUCUCGAGCGAGUGGCGAACGGGUGAGUAACGCGUGAGGAACCUGCCUCAAAGAGGGGGACAACAGUUGGAAACGACUGCUAAUACCGCAUAAGCCCACGGGUCGGCAUCGACCAGAGGGAAAAGGAGCAAUCCGCUUUGAGAUGGCCUCGCGUCCGAUUAGCUAGUUGGUGAGGUAACGGCCCACCAAGGCGACGAUCGGUAGCCGGACUGAGAGGUUGAACGGCCACAUUGGGACUGAGACACGGCCCAGACUCCUACGGGAGGCAGCAGUGGGGAAUAUUGCACAAUGGGGGAAACCCUGAUGCAGCGACGCCGCGUGGAGGAAGAAGGUCUUCGGAUUGUAAACUCCUGUUGUUGGGGAAGAUAAUGACGGUACCCAACAAGGAAGUGACGGCUAACUACGUGCCAGCAGCCGCGGUAAAACGUAGGUCACAAGCGUUGUCCGGAAUUACUGGGUGUAAAGGGAGCGCAGGCGGGAAGACAAGUUGGAAGUGAAAUCUAUGGGCUCAACCCAUAAACUGCUUUCAAAACUGUUUUUCUUGAGUAGUGCAGAGGUAGGCGGAAUUCCCGGUGUAGCGGUGGAAUGCGUAGAUAUCGGGAGGAACACCAGUGGCGAAGGCGGCCUACUGGGCACCAACUGACGCUGAGGCUCGAAAGUGUGGGUAGCAAACAGGAUUAGAUACCCUGGUAGUCCACACCGUAAACGAUGAUUACUAGGUGUUGGAGGAGUGACCCCCUCAGUGCCGCAGUUAACACAAUAAGUAAUCCACCUGGGGAGUACGACCGCAAGGUUGAAACUCAAAGGAAUUGACGGGGGCCCGCACAAGCAGUGGAGUAUGUGGUUUAAUUUGACGCAACGCGAAGAACCUUACCAAGUCUUGACAUCCCUUGACAGGCAUAGAAAUAUGUUUUCUCUUCGGAGCAAGGAGACAGGUGGUGCAUGGUUGUCGUCAGCUCGUGUCGUGAGAUGUUGGGUUAAGUCCCGCAACGAGCGCAACCCUUAUGGUCAGUUACUACGCAAGAGGACUCUGGCCAGACUGCCGUUGACAAAACGGAGGAAGGUGGGGAGGACGUCAAAUCAUCAUGCCCUCUAUGACUUGGGGUACACACGUACUACAAUGGCGUUAAACAAAGAGAAGCGAGACCGCGAGGUGGAGCAAAACUCAGAAACAACGUCCCAGUUCGGAGUGCAGGCUGCAACUCGCCUGCACGAAGUCGGAAUUGCUAGUAAUCGUGGAUCAGCAUGCCACGGUGAAUACGUUCCCGGGCCUUGCACU